ACAAUCGGGUUCGUUAUCGGGGUUGGGCUAUCCUCUUUGGCUUGAUUCGGGGUACAGAAGACGCAUUGAUGCAGAGGGUGUUACUAACAGCAUUAGUCAUUUCACCAAUGAUACAGACAAAGAUGCUAAUUUGGUCAUGAAGCUGAAUGUCUUUAAUGACAAAGAGGACCUCUGUCUGUAUGCUGUGAAGAAUAUACAGCCAAGGGAAUAGAUUCAAUACAAUUAUGGAGAUAAAGAGAACCUUUGGUGGAGGAGCAAGUAAUUUCUAAGAUGGCACAACGAGAAGAGAAUGCUGCAGAGGUGUUAGAUUGAGAUGUUGAGCAAAUGGAUUUAGAGCAAUGUUAAGAGAAUGCUGGAGAGGAGUUAGAUGGAGAUGUUGAGCAAGUGGAUCUGGAGCAAGAAGCAGAGAAAGCUGGAGAGUAUGUUUUAGAUGGAGACGUUAAUCAAGUGGAUUUGAAGCAACGUUAAGAGAAUGCUGGAGAGGUGUUAGAUGGAGAUGUUGAGGUAAAACAUGUCUGGAGGGUUACUUGAGCAGAUCUACAUCCUUUUCUUGCACAGUUCUUCAGUUCAGAACAAAGAUCAUGAAUGAAAAGAACAAAAGAAAAAAGAAGCAUUCCAAUCGAUUAAAAAACUUUUUUUUUAAGAUUUUUUAAACCAAAACUUUAAAUCAAAUGCCUUCGUUUACUCCCUUUUAGCUAACCGGAGAUGAAAGCUCAUGUGAGCUUUUCAGAUCACUUUUUUGUAUGGCAUCUGUCUGUCAACUUUCAUAUUUUCAACUUAUUCCCUAGAACCACUUGGCUAAUUUCAACCAAACUUGGCAUGAAGAAACCUUGUGUAAAUGGCAUUCAAA